AGAAAUGGGUAAAACAAGUGUGUACUAUAUAAAGAGCACAUUGCAGAAAGAAAGACAAGCGAGGAGAGACUUCUAACACUUUCUUCUUGAAUCACCGGAUUUUAGAUUGAGACGUUGUGGAUCCGUGGUGACAGUUCAUUCGUGAUUAUCAUCCCGACUACGAGUUUGAUUCGAGGAGUUUUUCGUGGUUCUCAGAUCGAGUACCCGCGACAACAACAUCCUCAACAAUAACAAGAGAGUGUUGGUCGGAGUCCUUGCUCUAGCCAAGGCAGCCCGGACUCCGAUGGUGAGGUUGAAGCUUCACACGAGGCCACCCCUUUCCUUCUCAACGAGAUUGUGCUCCCACAACCUCUCCACCUCCACCGUCGUCUCCGACAAUGGAGUGUAAAGCGUGCCUCGCCCGUCAGAGAUGCUACUUCCUCCAACCACUACCGGCUAGAGUUCACCUGUGGAAGCCCUCCUCCCCCUAUUCCCGUGCCUCUUCUCUAGAGGGAAGGAAAAAUCUCUCUCUCUAAACCAAUGGUAGAAGAGGAUGACGGAUUUGUUUGUGUGCUUGAUAUGCUUUACAAUCAUAUCAAUACGUGUUUGGAUGAAAGUAAUACUAGGAUAGAUGAUCCCUGAAAAGCCUUCGUAUUAUGCUUAUUUUUAAUCGAUCAUCUCUAAAAAUUAAUCAGUUACUUAUGAUAGGGUCUCAAAAAGGCUAUUCAUGUGGUGCGUACUUAGGACUGCUUGCCUAGGCUGCCCAACUGCUUGGACUGAUUGGCUGUCGGACUUCCAGGCUGGCGUAUAAGAAAGGCUGCAGAUGAUGGGCAGGGAGGGAGUAGGGGCCUUGCUGACUGUCUGGACUACUUUCAUUUGAUGCUAGGUAGGGCCUGCCCGGACAACUUGCUAAGGCUGUCAAAUUGUCAGUAUGAGCUGCUCGGACUCUUCGCCCAUUCACGGGUGGCAAAAGCUAAAGUCACGCCCGUUCACUUGUUUUGUUCUGGGAUUGCAUUGCCCUUUUGGAACUUGUUCCUUAUUUUCACGGACCAAUCAAGUAGAUUGUGAAACGUUCACUCAUUCAAAUUAUCAAUAUUCUUAGAAUUAUCAUUUAA